UUCCGAAAAGGUAUCACAUGCCA
rnacentral:siRNA from 1 species